GUCCACGCUGUAAACGAUGAGAGCUAGUUGUCGGCACGCAUGCGUGUCGGUGACGCAGCUAACGCAUUAAGCUCUCCGCCUGGGGAGUACGGCCGCAAGGUUAAAACUCAAAGAAAUUGACGGGGGCCCCGCACAAGCGGUGGAGCAUGUGGUUUAAUUCGAAGCAACGCGAAGAACCUUACCCACGUUUGACAUGUCCCGUUUGAUUACCAGAGAUGGUUUUCUUCAGUUCGGCUGGCGGGAACACAGGUGCUGCAUGGCUGUCGU
rnacentral:rRNA from 1 species